rnacentral:rRNA from 1 species
AGAGUUUGAUCCUGGCUCAGGACGAACGCUGGCGGCGUGCCUAAUACAUGCAAGUCGAGCGAGCGGAACUAACAGAUUUACUUCGGUAAUGACGUUAGGAAAGCGAGCGGCGGAUGGGUGAGUAACACGUGGGGAACCUGCCCCAUAGUCUGGGAUACCACUUGGAAACAGGUGCUAAUACCGGAUAAGAAAGCAGAUCGCAUGAUCAGCUUUUAAAAGGCGGCGUAAGCUGUCGCUAUGGGAUGGCCCCGCGGUGCAUUAGCUAGUUGGUAAGGUAAAGGCUUACCAAGGCGAUGAUGCAUAGCCGAGUUGAGAGACUGAUCGGCCACAUUGGGACUGAGACACGGCCCAGACUCCUACGGGAGGCAGCAGUAGGGAAUCUUCCACAAUGGACGCAAGUCUGAUGGAGCAACGCCGCGUGAGUGAAGAAGGUUUUCGAAUCGUAAAGCUCUGUUGUUGGUGAAGAAGGAUAGAGGUAGUAACUGGCCUUUAUUUGACGGUAAUCAACCAGAAAGUCACGGCUAACUACGUGCCAGCAGCCGCGGUAAUACGUAGGUGGCAAGCGUUGUCCGGAUUUAUUGGGCGUAAAGCGAGCGCAGGCGGAAGAAUAAGUCUGAUGUGAAAGCCCUCGGCUUAACCGAGGAACUGCAUCGGAAACUGUUUUUCUUGAGUGCAGAAGAGGAGAGUGGAACUCCAUGUGUAGCGGUGGAAUGCGUAGAUAUAUGGAAGAACACCAGUGGCGAAGGCGGCUCUCUGGUCUGCAACUGACGCUGAGGCUCGAAAGCAUGGGUAGCGAACAGGAUUAGAUACCCUGGUAGUCCAUGCCGUAAACGAUGAGUGCUAAGUGUUGGGAGGUUUCCGCCUCUCAGUGCUGCAGCUAACGCAUUAAGCACUCCGCCUGGGGAGUACGACCGCAAGGUUGAAACUCAAAGGAAUUGACGGGGGCCCGCACAAGCGGUGGAGCAUGUGGUUUAAUUCGAAGCAACGCGAAGAACCUUACCAGGUCUUGACAUCUAGUGCCAUUUGUAGAGAUACAAAGUUCCCUUCGGGGACGCUAAGACAGGUGGUGCAUGGCUGUCGUCAGCUCGUGUCGUGAGAUGUUGGGUUAAGUCCCGCAACGAGCGCAACCCUUGUUAUUAGUUGCCAGCAUUAAGUUGGGCACUCUAAUGAGACUGCCGGUGACAAACCGGAGGAAGGUGGGGAUGACGUCAAGUCAUCAUGCCCCUUAUGACCUGGGCUACACACGUGCUACAAUGGGCAGUACAACGAGAAGCGAGCCUGCGAAGGCAAGCGAAUCUCUGAAAGCUGUUCUCAGUUCGGACUGCAGUCUGCAACUCGACUGCACGAAGCUGGAAUCGCUAGUAAUCGCGGAUCAGCACGCCGCGGUGAAUACGUUCCCGGGCCUUGUACACACCGCCCGUCACACCAUGGGAGUCUGCAAUGCCCAAAGCCGGUGGCCUAACCUUCGGGAAGGAGCCGUCUAAGGCAGGGCAGAUGACUGGGGUGAAGUCGUAACAAGGUAGCCGUAGGAGAACCUGCGGCUGGAUCACCUCCUU